GCCUACGGGGGGCAGCAGUGGGGAAUAUUGCACAAUGGGGGAAACCCUGAUGCAGCAACGCCGCGUGAGUGAAGAAGUAUUUCGGUAUGUGAAGCUCUAUCAGCAGGGAAGAAGAUGACGGUACCUGAGUAAGAAGCCCCGGCUAACUACGUGCCAGCAGCCGCGGUAAUACGUAGGGAGCAAGCGUUAUCCGGAUUUACUGGGUGUAAAGGGCGUGUAGGCGGGCAUGCAAGCCAGAAGUGAAAUCUGGGGGCUUAACCCCCAAACUGCUUUUGGAACUGCGUGUCUUGAGUGAUGGAGAGGCA
rnacentral:rRNA from 1 species